GGUUUGAUCCUGGCUCGAUUGAACGCUGGCGGGAUGCUUUACAUGCAAGUCGAACGGCAGCACGGACUUCGGUCUGGUGGCGAGGGCGAACGGUGAGUAAUGUAUCGGAACGUGCCUAGUAGCGGGGAUAACUACGCGAAAGCGUAGCUAAUACCGCAUACGCCCUUCGGGGGAAAGCGGGGACCUUCGGGCCUCGCACUAUUAGGAGCGGCCGAUAUCGGAUUAGCUAGUUGGUGGGGUAACGGCUCACUAAGGACGAUCCGUAGCUGGUUUGAGAGGACGACCAGCCACACUGGGACUGAGACACGGCCCAGACUCUACGGAGGCGCAGUGGGGAAUUUUGGCCGGGAAUCCUCAUCCAGCCAUCCCGCGUGUGCGAUGAAGGCCUCGCUUAUAAAAGAAUUUUUGGCAGGAAGAAACGGCACGGGAUAAUACCCCGUGCAACUGACGGUACCUGCAGAAUAAGCACCGGCCAACUACGUGCCAGCAGCCGCGGUAAUACGUAGGGUACAAGCGUUAAUCGGAAUUAAUGGCGUAAAAGCGUGCGCAGGCGGUUCGGAAAGAAAGAUGUGAAAUCCCAGAGCUUAACUUUGGAACUGCAUUUUUAACUACCGAGCUAGAGUGUGUCAGAGGGAGGUGGAAUUCCGCGUGUAGCAGUGGAAAUGCGUAGAUAUGGCGGAGGAACACCGAUGGCGAAGCGCAGCCUCCUGGGAUAACACUGACGCUCAUGCACGAAAGCGUGGGGAGCAAAAACAGAUUAGGAUACCCUGGUAGUCCACGCCCUAAACGAUGUCAACUAGCUGUUGGGGCCUUCGGGCCCUUGGUAGCAGCUAACGGUGAAGUUGACCGCCUGGGGAGUACGGUCGCAAGAUUAAAACUCAAAGGAAUUGACGGGGACCCGCAAUGCUGUGGAUGAUGUGGAUGACUGAUGCAACGCGAAAAAACCUACCUACCCUUGAUACACCGGAAUCCCGAAGAGAUUUGGGAGUGCUCGCAAGAGAACCGGAACACAGGUGCUGCAUGGCUGUCGUCAGCUCGUGUCGUGAGUAUGUUGGGUUAAGUCCCGCAACGAGUGCAACCCUUGUCAUUAGUUGUUACGAAAGGGCACUCUAAUGAGACUCGCCGGGUGUGACAAACUGAGGAAGGUGGGGAUGACGUCAAGUCCUCAUGGCCCUUAUGGGUAGGGCUUCACACGUCAUACAAUGGUCGGGACAGUGGUCGCCAACCCGCGAGGGGGAGCCAAUCCCAGAAACCCGAUCGUAGUCCGGAUCGCAGUCUGCAACUCGACUGCGUGAAGUCGGAAUCGCUAGUAAUCGCGGAUCAGCAUGUCGCGGUGAAUACGUUCCCGGUCUGCACACACCGCCCGUCACACCAUGGGAGUGGGUUUUAUCGAAGUAGUUAGCCUAACCGUAAGGAGGGCGAUUACUUCUGUAGGAUUCAUGACUGGGGGUGAAGUCGUAACAAGGUAA
rnacentral:rRNA from 1 species